rnacentral:rRNA from 1 species
ACGCUAUCACUCCCACGGGAGGCAGCAGUGGGGAAUAUUGCACAAUGGGCGCAAGCCUGAUGCAGCCAUGCCGCGUGUGUGAAGAAGGCCUUCGGGUUGUAAAGCACUUUUCAGUCGUGAGGAAGGAAGUGCUAGUUAAUAGCUGCAUUAUUUUGACGUUUAGCGACAGAAGAAGCACCGGCUAACUCCGUGCCAGCAGCCGCGGUAAUACGGAGGGUGCGAGCGUUAAUCGGAAUUACUGGGCGUAAAGCGCAUGCAGGUGGUUUGUUAAGUCAGAUGUGAAAGCCCGGGGCUCAACCUCGGAAUUGCAUUUGAAACUGGCAGACUAGAGUACUAGUAGAGGGGGGGUAGAAAUUUUCAAGGUGUAGGGUGAAAUGCGUAGAGAUCUGAAGGAAUACCGGUGGCGAAGGCGGCCCCCUGGACAGAUACUGACACUCAGAUGCGAAAGCGUGGGGAGCAAACAGGAUUAGAUACCCUGGUAG